rnacentral:rRNA from 1 species
UACGGGAGGCAGCAGUAGGGAAUCUUCCGCAAUGGACGCAAGUCUGACGGAGCAACGCCGCGUGAGUGAAGAAGGUUUUCGGAUCGUAAAACUCUGUUGUAAGAGAAGAACAAAUUGUAGAGUAACUGCUACAGUCUUGACGGUAUCUUACCAGAAAGCCACGGCUAACUACGUGCCAGCAGCCGCGGUAAU